rnacentral:rRNA from 1 species
UACGGGGGGAGCAAGCGUUGUUCGGAUUUACUGGGCGUAAAGGGCGCGUAGGCGGCCACCGCAAGUCGGUUGUGAAAUCUCCGGGCUUAACCCGGAAAGGUCAACCGAUACUGCGGGGCUAGAGUGCAGAAGGGGCAACUGGAAUUCUCGGUGUAGCGGUGAAAUGCGUAGAUAUCGAGAGGAACACCUGCGGCGAAGGCGGCGUUCUGGACUGCAACUGACACUGAGAAACGAAAGCCAGGGGAGCAAACGGG